rnacentral:rRNA from 1 species
AGAACGAACGCUGGCGGCGUGGAUAAGACAUGCAAGUCGAACGCGAUUUAUCAGGUUAGCAAUAACUUGGUAAAUUGAGUGGCGAAAGGGUGCGUAACACGUGGGAAUUUACCAAGAAGUGGGGAAUAGCUCGACGAAAGUCGAAUUAAUACCGCAUAUGAUCGCAAGAUCAAAGCCGGGGACCGCAAGGCCUGGCGCUUUUUGAGAAGCCCGCGGCCCAUCAGCUAGUUGGCGGGGUAAAGGCCCACCAAGGCUAUGACGGGUAGCUGGUCUGAGAGGACGACCAGCCACACUGGAACUGAGACACGGUCCAGACACCUACGGGUGGCAGCAGUCGAGAAUUUUUCACAAUGGACGAAAGUCUGAUGGAGCGACGCCGCGUGGAGGAUGAAGGUUUUCGGAUUGUAAACUCCUGUCACUGCAGAACAAGGAUAUGUUUAUGAAUAGUAAUAUAUUGAUGGUAUGCGGAGAGGAAGGGACGGCUAACUCGUGU